ACCUGGCUGGCUGAGUCAGAAAAGCAUGAGACUCUUGAUCUCAUCGUCAUGAGUUCAAGCCCCAUGCUGGGUG
rnacentral:tRNA from 1 species